rnacentral:misc_RNA from 1 species
UGCAGCCGUCGCUGAGCGGCGUGAAGCGGUUGCAGGCCAUGGUGGCGGAACGCGUGGGCGUCGCGCCGUACCAGAUCUCGGCGUCCCUAGCACGGCCCCUCCGCGCACGCGCCGCAUGCCCCUCGACGACGCCACCGACCUCGCCGCCGCCUCACUAGGCGCGACCAGUCUUCCCCUUCUAGGAGCGGGUGCGAGUCUCUGCGCCGCCGACCUGCUUGCCAUGGGCUUCCUCUCCCUCUUCGUCGGUCACACGCUCGCGACGGCGCCGCUCCCUAGGUCGGCGCGACCCCCAUGUCCGCGUGCCAGCCACCAGCAGCGGCGCUUCUCCCCGCUCGCCGGCGAGUCCUGCCUGUGCACCCCCAGCAGCCAGGCCGCCGGCUCUCCCUCCCUCGCGGCCCUUCUCCGCAGCCGCGACCC